rnacentral:rRNA from 1 species
UCUUUUGGAGAGUUUGAUCCUGGCUCAGGACGAACGCUGGCGGCGUGCCUAAUACAUGCAAGUCGAGCGGACC